AGGGUCUUCCAGGAAAAAGUGGGGCUCCAGGUGAUGCUGGCCCACAGGGACUUCCUGGUUUGCCGGGAGCUUAUGGUCAAAAAGGACACGGAGGUGCAAAGGGUAACGCAGGCGAUCCAGGAGUUGUUGGUCUGAUGGGGUCUCCAGGGAAACAAGGUGAACGUGGUGAUCAAGGAGAGGUGGGACCCAUUGGGCUCAGAGGAGGACCAG